GCGGGAGUAGCUCAGUUGGUAGAGCACAACCUUGCCAAGGUUGGGGUCGCGAGUUCGAGUCUCGUCUCCCGCUCCA
rnacentral:tRNA from 8 species